rnacentral:rRNA from 1 species
UACAGAGGUCUCAAGCGUUGUUCGGAUUCAUUGGGCGUAAAGGGUGCGUAGGUGGCGCGCUAAGUCAGGUGUGAAAUUUCGGAGCUUAACUCCGAAACUGCACUGGAUACUGCUCUGCUAGAGGGCUGGAGAGGAGAUCGGAAUUCACGGUGUAGCAGUGAAAUGCGUAGAUAUCGUGAGGAAGACCAGUGGCGAAGGCGGAUCUCUGGACAGCUCCUGACGCUGAGGCGCGAAGGCUAGGGGAGCAAACGGG